UGCCCAGCAACUCCUAUCCCUACCUCCUCGCAGUACUUGCCGGGGUACGAGUAAGCUUAGGGAAGAUCGGGUAAGG
rnacentral:ribozyme from 1 species